GAAAUCGCAGCCAUACGGGCUACGCUCCCCCGACUGAACUGUAUCUGCGUUUUGUGCGGUGAGAGAGAGAAAAAGACGCAGUGUACGGCGACGUGCUCCUCCCUCCACCCUGCACCCUCAUCUGUCAGCCAUUAGUUAAUCAGGGCUUCUAAAGACUAGAGCACAGAGAGCUGGCACAACGCGUGGGACCAGAGGACAGCUUCACCUCUGAGAGCAAGAGGAGGGCAAGGACUCAGGGACCUCUGUUUCACUGAGCCACAGCUGGGCUGCUUCACUCAGCAGCACCCACUCAGGCGGCAACCUCAACACAACCCCACCCACUGCUCCACUGUGAACAGUUUAUAGGUGGUGGCACAUCUUGGCAAAGGAAAUAUGCCUCAAUUGGAAAAACACCCCCUUAAAUACAUUGUAUCAAUGAGAAAACAAAUAAAGAAGUGUUUUUUUUUAAUAAACAAAUUGUAUUUUCAGCUCCUUAGAUUCGGCAUAUAGAGGAUCUUGUUGCAGAUUCACCAUUUUCCGUAAAUGGCAAAUGCGAAAGAGAAAACGUGGCAGUUAACCAGAGAGAGAUAGAGGCAUUGGAACUGUUCGCGGCUUGGAGUCUGAAGAGUCAAAGCAAAGGUCAGUUAUGGGUAAUACAGUUCCUCCUUUUCACUUUAAGAAGUACUUGCGAUCUCUCCAAAGCUACAUUGUCAAACUAUUAAUAUAAAGCUUUACUAACUAGAGUUACAUAAAGCUGCCAUAAUUAGUUAAUCAAUCAACUUGAUGAUCCCACAAAUCGUACCAAAAAGUAUAUAACUUAUUAUAUAACUGCCAGACAUUUGAUGGCCUCUGUUUUUUGACUGUGAGGAUUUGCUGCUUUAUUUGGUCAAAUGUUAUAGUAAAUUUAAUAUCUUUGAGUUUUGAACAGUUCUGUAAGACAAUCUGUUUUGUAGAAAAUAAAGCUGAUUAAUUGAUAGUGAACAGAAUUGUUAGGUUUUUGUUCUUAAUAUCUGCAGUGCACAAGAUUGCUGAAUAGAUAUCUCCUUGGAUUUUUCCUUGUUUUGUGUGGAGAAGGUUCGACCAGCGGCCCAGAUAGCACAGGUGAUGAACAAUAAACAGACCUGAUAGGUAGCUAACUCAUGUGAAGUGUACAUCACUAAGUCAAACAGUACAAUACAAGUACAGCUGAAACAUCCCAGAGAGUGGUCUAAGACUUUUGGACGGCUGUAAGUUGGAGUUGGGUGGAAGAACCAUUACCUCCCUGUUACUUAAUAUGGGCUACAUCAGGCAAUCGAUCAUCGUCUUUCUCAUACUUCCAAAAAGGCUUUUUAAAAGAGUUGUUGAAUCUCACAUUUCCCGUUUCACUCCAUCAGCUUGAUAGGUCUGAAUAAGACCAGGCCCUUGUAAAGUAUGAGAUGGUAGCCUCAAGGAUCAGUGGAGUCAGAGAAGUGUCUCCUAGAAGCUUAAGACCACUUCAUAAUGUUUAACCAACAAGUUGAGGAUAAGCAGACGCGCUCUACCUGUGUCAAAGUGAGGCCGUGUGCCCUAUCAUUCGAUGGGUUUGGGGUAGACCAACCUAAAUGCUUCCAGACUUUCACGCCCUGUCUCUUCUCAUUUCAUCUCACUGCAUCUCUCCCAGCGCCCACAAAACAGCAUCGAACCUCACAAGGACUCCUCCCUUAAAGUCUCCCACUAUCCAGAACAAAUUCAUUGUGCUUACGAGUCCACACGUAUUUCUCUAGCUUACUUCCAUAUGAUCAUUUACCUGCUCUCAAAGAUACAAAGACGAUGUUUAUGCAAGAAAAUCUAUAUAACAAUGUGCAAUCUGUUCUCCCUUCAUGUUAUGAAUCUGUUUCGCUUGCAACGCAGGGUCAUCCUGAUGUGAAAGCCAUGCUGCCAUCCAAAUAGUUUGAAUCUUCAGAUAACAUCUCACAACAUCUGUUUGUUUUUGCCAGCAGAAGUCUUAAUGGUUUGCCAAUCUCUCGACCAUAUUGCUUAACUUUUAACCAACGUCAAUCAUCAAGUUUUAGCUUUCUCUCAAAGGCAAAAAUAUUUCUAUCGCCCGACUCAGAUUUAAGUUUAAGCCAAGACACGAUUCAUGCUAAGGCCCUCCCAGCCACCACUUCAAUUGCUCAAACUCAACUGGCAUAUGGGCAGGAUGAGGAAACACAAUGAUGUCAUGACCAGGUGACCCCGGGGUGACAGGUUUGGAGAAUGUUCCUCCCUCAGGCCAAAGUCAAGUAUGUCAAUGUUGCGCAUGUGGAUUUCAUCUGAAGCAGCAUGAUUAGUCCACAGACGCUCGACUGCGAUCCCCCUCCAUGGGAAAGCCUCUGCUGACAGGAAACGGUGUGUUUUUGUUAGCAACAAACAGGCAUAAAUUACUAAAAUUGUGCCUUGGUUGCCAAUUCAUCACACAGAGCAGUAUUGUUUUUCCUUGUGCACACAUUUGACAUCGACAUGGCUUUUAGGGUAAUUACCAUUACUUAAUGAUAUUUACAUUCUGGUGGGUUUAUGUUAAACUGUGUCUGCUAUUCCAAUUUUGUGCAAUAAAUGUGAUAAUUGUUUUGUGUCUUUUCUUUUUUACAAAUGACAAAAUGUGUUUCAAUGACCUGUACAUUGAAAGUGAAUAUAGCGCAACAAUCAAGCUGUCACAGCAGAAUAAGAAAAGAUCCAGGGAUGCGGACGAAAGACGGCAGCUAAUUUGAGAACUCCUGGGAUGUUGUGAAUAAAGUGAAGCAAAGAUUGAAUUGCUUAAUUUGUAAAACUGUUUAAUUGUAAGUGAAUUACAAAAUAAAAUAUGACUUGAUCACAUGUAUCGUCAAGAUGGAUGUAUACCAUCAUUAAUAAAGCCAUAUUUAGGUUUAA